CGUCAAGUCAUCAUGGCCUUUAUGGCCAGGGCUACACACGUGCUACAAUGGUAGGUACAAAGGGCUGCAAAACCGCGAGGUUAAGCGAAUCCCAUAAAACCAUUCUCAGUUCGGAUUGCAGGCUGCAACUCGCCUGCAUGAAGCCGGAAUCGCUAGUAAUCGCGGAUCAGCAUGCCGCGGUGAAUACGUUCCCGGGCCUU
rnacentral:rRNA from 1 species